CAGCAGCCGCGGUAAGACGAACCGUCCAAACGUUAUUCGGUAUCACUGGGCUUAAAGCGUUCGUAGGCGGCCUAGUAGGUGAGAUGUGAAAGCCCACGGCUCAACCGUGGAACAGCGUUUCAAACCACUAGGCUCGAGGAUGGCAGGGGUAAUGGGAACUGAUGGUGGAGCGGUGAAAUGCGUUGAUAUCAUCAGGAACACCGGUGGCGAAAGCGCAUUACUGGGCCAUUUCUGACGCUGAGGAACGAAAGCUAGGGUAGCGAACGGG
rnacentral:rRNA from 1 species